UGGGGAAUUUUGGACAAUGGGCGAAAGCCUGAUCCAGCAAAUGCCGCGUGUGUGAAGAAGGCCUUCGGGUCGUAAAGCACUUUUUGUCCGGAAAGAAAUCCUUGGCUCUAAUACAGUCGGGGGAUGACGGUACCGGAAGAAUAAGCACCGGCUAACUACGUGCCAGCAGCCGCGGUAAUACGUAGGGUGCAAGCGUUAAUCGGAAUUACUGGGCGUAAAGCGUGCGCAGGCGGUUUGCUAAGACCGAUGUGAAAUCCCCGGGCUCAAACCUGGGAACUGCAUUGGUGACUGGCAGGCUAGAGUAUGGCAGAGGGGGGUAGAAUUCCACGUGUAGCAGUGAAAAUGCGUAGAGAUGUGGAGGAAUACCGAUGGCGAAGGCAGCCCCCCUGGGCCAAUACUGACGCUCAUGCACGAAAAGCGUGGGGGAGCAAAACAGGAUUAGAUACCCCUGGUAGUCCACGCCCUAAACGAUGUCAACUAGUUGUUGGGGAUUCAUUUCUUAGUAACGUAGCUAACGCGUGAAGUUGACCGCCUGGGGAGUAC
rnacentral:rRNA from 1 species